CGCCCCCACAAGCCUGCUAGCAAGCCAUGCACUCCAGUGCUGUCUGCUCAGUCCUCCCCCGCCCCUCCCCACACUGUGAUUGCGACACCUCUGUCCUACUGCCUGCUGGGGGAGGCCUGAGGACGAGCUCUGGGUGUCUGAGAACCAAGUGCACAGGACCUGUGGGUUUUUCUGGGAGUUGGGAAGCCAACAGUGUUCUCCUUUCUCCCAGGGGUCUUUGGCCCCAACUAGGUCACUGGGCUGACCCCACUUCCUGCCUCUCACAGUCCUCAGCUUGGCUGUCGUGUCUGUGUCUGGGAUGUGCCGCCAAAUCAAUGACUUCCUUAUUCUCUGGUCUCUUGGCAGGGGCAGGGCAAGGAAGGCGUUUGGCCCAGGAAUCUUCAGGAGCAGCCAUGCUCAAGACCUGAGUCUUAUUAGCCUCAUACUGGGAAGUAGGGGUGGCAGGCUCUUUGGCUGGCCUAGGGCAUUGAACCGACUCUAUCCUCUCACCCCAUGCUGGGACUGAGUGUGAGUUGCUCUCACCACCCAGACACCUUCACAACUCCUGCCUCAGCGGAGGCACAGCCAGGCCCAGGGUGAGUCAGCCAGGGAAGUCCCGGCACCAGCACCCACCACUGGAGAGACUCCGCUGACACUCCCCUAUGAGUGGGGUAUCCAGCCCCUCCCGCAGAGGGUGAGAGGAACAACCGGGCUCCCUCACCCCCAUUUCCCGCUCCCUGAGAGGGGAGCGAGGCAGGUGGAGCAGGAGGAAGUCAUACUGCAGGCAGCCCUGAAAGGUAGGCCAUGGCACAUGGCUGCCCUCCUACGGCCUGACCCCCUCAGGCUUGGCACAUUAGUGGAGAGGAACACCAGGUAUCCUGGCCUCUGAGUACUAUGCUUUAUAGGGGUUUGAUGUCCUCUUGACUCCAGAAGAUGAAAGGGUGGGCACUCUACCUCAUUAUUGAGGGACUUCCUCCUUGUCAAGCCAGGAUGGAGAGAGAACUGAGGCCCAGACCAUCCCUUUUCCAGAAGGUGAGUCUAAGGCCAAGCAACAGCCAAGGCCCGGAGAGAACCAGGAGACCCAGCAAGAUGUCCUCUUCUGGACGAAACAGGAGAGAUGGCCAAGCCUGUAACCCAGCAGACCUGUUGGUGCUGGAGGCCACUGGCUACCUCCUGCAGCUUGCCUGACAGUGUUGGAGAGAUUGCUGUAAUGUCCUGCCUCAGGAUGCCUCCCUACACACACACUCACAACUCAAUCCCUUUCUGGUCUGACACUCACAUAGGGAGGGCCCAGGACAGACGAGAAGAUCUAUGACCUGGGAGCUCCCAGAGCAGGAGGCAUUGGCCACACUCUGCAGGACCUCAAGAGAUGCUACAGUCCAACCUCUUUGUCAGAUUGACAAAGAGACCCAAGGUGGGCAGGAGCAAUCGGAAGAUACAUGGUGCAUAGGGCCCACUCUCCUGCCGCUGCUGCCAGAAGGAGGCCCCGGAGCUGAGCCUUCUCUGGGUCACAUGCAGAAGCAGCUCCUCUGGGCUGCUGGACCAGGCAGGGGUGCACACUGGAGAAGACACGAGGGCCCGGCUUCUUGAUCUCGUGCAUGCUGACUGUUGCCUGGGCAGGUAUUAGGGGCCCUAUGCAUGGGCUGGGAGCUGGGGAGGUUCCCACUUAGGCUUCUGUAGGCCCUGCUACCUUUGAUCUUCAGCUCCUGCCGGGCUUCCCCUUUCUGGAUUCUUCCUAAAGUCUGGCCUCUUGCACUUCCGGGACAGGGAAGUGGGUGGUGGGAGAGAUUCAGAAACCCGACCACUACGUUGAAAGAAGCCUGGAAGCAUGUGGCCACAUAAAUCUCCUGGGUUUAUUUACAUGUCUUUCAAACAAAUGUCUUGGAUGGCUUUCUUCUUCCCCCCCCCUCCUGGAACUGAGCCACUCAAUGGAAACCAGUAGCUCAAAAGUCUUUGCACCACUCUGGAGGUAACUCAGACCCCACCCACGAGGUCCAGGCUGCCACCUUAGGGCCAGGAUCACUCAGACACCCUGAGUCUCUGUGGUCAGUGGGUCUACAAAGACUCCUACCACACCCACCAUAUCACUAUGGUCUCUAGGCAUGGAGGCCUAGAUAGCAGACAGCCAGCCACAAUCAAGCCCUUCUCUAGGGGACCAGCGACCACUCAGAGAUGUACGGCGAGCAGCUGGAACGGAGAGGAGAGGUCUUCUCAGGCAACUGAAACUGCCCAGAAAACCAGACCGUAUAGCUGGAACUCACCAAGAGACCAGAGCAGAGCAAGAGGUGCUAGAGUUACCUUCAGGCUGCUCUUGCCUCGCAGCCUAGAGACAGAGACCUGGAGCCUGAGCAGGCACACUGCCAUGGCCGAGAUCACACAGCUUUGGGUUUUGCCCUGUCAGAAAUGCCACUCAAGCCUCAUUUACUCAACCAUUACUUCCUUAGCACAACCUAUGAGCCCAGAUUCUGGAGUUUAUUUGGGGCACCUGAUGGAAAAUGAACUAACUGUACCCUUGAAGCCUUGCAAACUGGGGGUGAGGGGCCUUUUAGAUGUCUCUUCCCCACUUUCCUUGUGUAGCAGACAGCUAUCCUUACCAUCACUAGAGGAAACAGAGAAGCAAGAAGGCGAUAAACUUUCUUUGGAUCAAAACGACAGACAAGGAGCACCAGGACCUGGAGAAGACGAGGGGACCUGGACGAGGUUACUACAGCCAGAGUGCCACAGUCCUGGCAGAUGAAUUUCCACUAGCCAAGGAGGCCUCUUGUCUCAUGCUGAGGUGAGGCCACAUUCCGGAAUGCUAACCAGUACCAAUGCAAGUACCUGUGGACUUCCAGAUCCACUUCACAGAUCAGGCUGUGGCCCAGUUACAAGCCAUGGUCACAGCAGCAGAGAGGAAGUCAAAUCAACAGCUCUGCAGCCCUCCCUGGACAGCGGAACUGCAGCUGACCCCUGCUGUCUGUCUGGAGCCCUGCUCCGUCCUGCUGUCUGUCUGGAGCCCUGCUCCGUCCUGGCCCACUGUGCUUGCAGUCUGCAGCUCGGAGCCAGGUUGGAUGUCCUGCCUCCAAAGUAUUCAGUCUCUGCAGACACAGCUGGGGACAGGAAGUAGGAUCUGGGGCGGAGGAACCAGGAGCUCAGUUUGGUCUGAGGACAUUCUUUCUUCGCAGCCAGACACAGUUCUGUGUGCCUUUUGAAAGGAAGUAGAGAAUAGCUGCGCUCAGCCCAAUGAGGCCGGCCGCUUUCAACAUUCCAGUUGCUGCCAUUUCCAAUUACAACUUCAGAGGGCUCCUAUAAUUUAUACAUCCCAGGAUGCACUGCUCCAGCUGCUUUAUGACGGGAGUUCAUUACACCAUUAAGGUUAAACUUUUAUAAAGUACUAAGCAGGUGGUGGGCUGGGCGCCCAGCUUAGUUACCGCUCCCAGAAGCCUGCUGAAUGGGGCUCACCUGGGGAAGAGAGGGGGACAGGCUCUCUAAAGGGACCAAGAAACAGGGAAGGCGGCUCCUGAGGUGCCCAGAGCCUCCAUUAGCCUGUUUAUUAAACUGCAUAGUAUGGCAGGCAGGCGGCAAGGGGAACAAUCUGAAACCGCUCAACAGCACUGGCAGGGGGCAUGCGGGGAGAGAGGAACCGUCCUGUGUGAGCCUGAAAGGCGUUGCCAAGGCCAGGGAGGUGUGGGGUCUGAGGAGGACAGGGCUGGGAAGCUGAGCAGCAGCGACAAAUGACAACUCAGCCUACACAUGGGGAACAGACCUGGGGCUUCCUGGGAGUGCAGGAGAUUGGUGUUCUCAGCAAUGGGGUAUCCAAAAGGAGGAUGGCUACCCAGGGGCCCACAAAGUCGGCCAGUGGGAGAGGUUCGCAGCAAGCAGGAUCAGCACCCUGAAGGUGGGAGCCACACUGACUGGCAGCAGGGACGUGGCUUCUAACAGAGUUCCUGGACAUCCAAGGAAGCGAGGUUCUGUGAAACACUCACUUCUCUUCCUAGGUGCCAUGGGACAGUCUUGAGUGCAAAGGAGCUAAGUGUCCACAACACAGAAGCCGCCAAUACUCUGCAUUAAACGUGACCCUGAGCCUGGAGUACUUUGAACUGGGUCUGGAAGGACACCAGGGAGUUAAGUGUCAUGUGUCAGCCACGGACGGGGAAUAAUCUGGUGACUUUCCUCUUAUGUCUCCUAGCUCCAUGCAAAAGUCCAAUGCAUAGUAGGAGCUCAGUUUGAUGCAUAGUAGGAGCUCAGCUUGAUGAUGACCUUUUUAUCGGCAGCCUGGCCAGAACUGAAAGUACCCUUGAGAAGAAUUCCUUGACUCAGCAAGAGGGAACCGUGGCUGGUGUUCCCAGGCACAUAGAGCCCUCCUGGCCUCCUCCUUCAUAUCUUUAUAACCGAGGGGGCUUCCGCCUGGGGCUUCAAGCCUCAGAGGGCAUGCUGUGGUACCGACAGAUUGGGCUCACUUCAUUGUCCAGACACUGAAGAAACCGAUCGGGACAGGUCGUGCUGUGAAGCCCAAUCUGGUUUGCAGCUCAUCAUCCAUCAUCCUACAGCCCCAGGGUGGUCAGAGGGGCCACAAAACUUUGCUUACAGGAGCUCUGAGAGAAACUGGCUUUCCCAAAGGCUUCAGGAGAGGCCUUUAAACAAAGGCAAGAGCCGGAUGGAAGAGGUGCCAGAGGGAAGCAAACCAAAAUAGGAGAGGAACAAAAAGGAGCUGGGGGUUGGGAAGGCCAGCUCCAGAGAAGGCUGGGAUGUGAGCAGAGCGACUCCAGAGGGGGACCAGCAAAACAGUGCCUGACUGGAGAAGAGGUCCAGAUGCUGGCAGGGAGGGAUGCCCAAGGGGCGUGGCCUACACCGAGGAAGGGUCUGGGGUCAUGUAGCUUCAGAGGAAGUACAGCACUGGAUAAAAGAGGGUCAGCUUUAGCACUGGCCUUGGCUGCCAGAACGAUGGCAAGAAAUGAUCAUGAGAGUUACUGGGAACACUUAACCAGCACUGGGCACCAUCACUCUAGGCUCUGGGCAGGAACUCCUAGAGAGGUGUCAUUUGAUACCAAUGUGCCACAUUCCAGAAGAGCCCCCUUCCCCUGUUUGGGGAGGAGAGAGAGAGAGAGAGAGAGAGAGAGAGAGAGAGAGAGAGAGAGAGAGAGAGAGACUGACUUCAUGUGGCCCGCCCAAGCAGCAGUACACUACAGUGAAGCUCUGUCUUUAGGUAGAGCCCAUGCCUGAAGGCCUGUGUUAUUUAAAAGCAGAGAUGAUGAACGAGAAGCAGGAAGUCAGUGGUAGGCAUGGGUGGCGUGCUCUUAGAGGCAGGCAGUGUCUGAAGAGCAUGAAGCAGACAGGGUACUGAGAGUUCCAGGCCCCUGCAGCUGAGGCUGCAAAGGCUGGGACUGUCCCCUCAGCUACCAGCCUAGGACUGCCCAACCACCCCACAGCCUGCAGAGAAACUGCAGCAGGGCAGUUGUCCCAGGACAGUGAAAGAGCUGUGAGAAGUGGGAGUAGGCUACAGGGCGUGCCAGGGGAGCCUGAUGUAAUCCCAGCUUGCAGAAGGCGGAAACUUGGGAAGUUAAACGAAUCGUCACCUAACCUAACGGCAGCCUGGCCGCAGAUUUCCAACAAGCACUGCCAGGCCUGCCUUGCCCCACCCACAAGUUAGUCCUCUCUGCUCUGGGGCUCUGUGAGGAUCAGUGCAGAACCGUGCAGAACCGUGCAGAACCCUGUGGCCUCCCUGAGAGAGCCCCUGCCAGGCACUGAGCUGAUAGGCACUGGGGAGAGCUGAUGAGAAAGCAAAGGGUUCCUAGCUGAGGCUCUGGGAACCCUGCCAUGGAGAGAAAGGCAGUGUCCUGCUUCCGGGAUGCAGGGCUCACCUCUUUCCCAGACUUCUGCAUGUUGUAAGGGGGUGGGGUAGAAGAGAUCUAGGUGGCUACUUGGCAAACUAUCCCUCUUCCUCACAAACCCCAGCCUGAAUCGACCUAGUUAGAACACACAUGAAAACAGGGGAAGCAGGGUCCACAAUCCUGGAGAGCGCUCUGCACUUCGGACGACCAGGGUCCAGGUACUUCUCGGCCAACCAGUAAACCUAGGGCAGGCUGACAACCUUUCUCAGGACCCUUUCCUGGCACCACAGGGUUCUGAAGUUCCUGGCAACUGUCAAGCUACAGGAUUCUCUCAAAGCCUGUCUGGGUGGCUUGGGGCGGGGGGAGGGUGGGGUGUGAGUAUACAUGUUUCAUCCUGAGUUUGUGUGUAGUGUGCCAGCCAGUGUAGACACCCUUACUGCUGACCUACAAACAGAAAAACUAAAGCUCAGAACUGACAAAUAACUGAUAGAUGCCCAGCAGAGAGGAACAGAAUCCAGGCCCAACACAGCGUAUUUCACAUCUCCAAGAGUACCCACCCUAUGGAAAUAGGCUCUCUUGGUCCUCACAGCGAAAGAGGGGCCUGACCUGGGCCAGACAGGUUUGAUAAACACAACAUACUUGACUGAUAGAAGCAGGGGCGGGGUAUCCGAAGGAGAGUUAAACGCCCUUAAAUCUGGAAAGUGACCUUUAACAAGUUUUGAAACAUCAUCUAUAAAAAGGGCUUGUGUUACCUGCCCCUGGAAUGGAGAGGGUGAAAUGAACUAAGAAACGGACAGAUGCCUGGUACUGGCGUCUCUGCCCAGCAAAUGUUACAUCAGUAAUUCCUCACUUUCAAAGAAGCAAGGGCGAGCAAAGGGAGCCAUGUACACUCUUAGGGCUGUCUAGAUAGAGUACAGUUCAGUGGAGCAUGAAGAAAGGCUUCCUGUAGAAGGAGGCUUGUGUGGAGUCUGGAAGAGAGGCAGGACUGGCCUGGAACAUGACAGUGAACUCAACCUGUUCCAACCCCACCUGGCUGCCUAUGUAGACCUGAGCAGGUGAUUUCACGUCCUCAAGCCUCCAGUAAGAUGGAGCUUAUGGGGAUGGAGGAGUGAAGGGGCUGCCUGCUGCAAGGAAUGAACAAGAUCCUCUAUCUCUCAAGCUGUCACUCACAAGAUAAAAGCUGUUGUUGUUACUACUUACAUGGUUGCUUUGAGGUAGGGUCUAUCUAGGUAACCCCAGAUACCCUAAAUCUUGCCAUGUAGACCAGACUGAUUGCAAGCUUUCAAUGAUCCUCCUGCCUCUGCUUUCUGAAUGCUGAGACGCCAGCUGCGUACCACCACACUCAAGUCCUUACUGUUAUUUUGUGGCACAGCAAAUCCCGCGUACAAGCACUGGUAUCUUCUCAGACCUCAAGAACUAAAAGUUUCACAAAAGUCAAGCAUAGAGUCCUGUCCCCAGAGGGACAAAAUUACAGUCCAUGGAGCCCACCCCUCACGUGGCCUGUCCGCCAGGGCAACGGGAAGGGGGAGGUGUAGGGUGUAUGGUACAUAAUGAAGGAACAUCAAUAAUGAAUUAGCCACAAGUGAGUCCAGGAACAUCAAUCAUAAAUUAAUUAAAUGGCUCCAUGAGAGACCGUGACAAGAGCCUACUGGGGAUGAAUUAGUAUGGGAGUCCUAGAUCAGCCGCCACAGCCAAGGCCACUUCCCUCAGGCCCCAAAGGGACACAGCAGCUCUUUGGCCAGGGAGGCUUCCAGGUAAAGGGGUGCUUCUUGGGAACACCCCCCCCAAAUCACAAGCACAGAAAAGCCCUGUUCUCCCCCGACCCAGCCCCCAGCUUAGAACUCUCCAACGCUGAAAGGAUUUUGAUGAAACUUCCCAGAAUAGUAACCUCCUGGGCUGAACUCAGGCAGGCGAAAUUUCAAGGGGUAAUUUGGUGAGAAAAUUAUUUUAAAAAAAAAACAGCCUAGAAGUAAGUGCUAGGAAUAGCAGAAGCCCUCAGUGGCCUCAGAGACAAGGACAGCCUUGAGGACAGUGUCAACAACCUCAGGGGAUCCUUCAUAGCCUCUAUCUAGAUUACACUCUGGCCUGGUGCCACUCUGUUGGGAGCCACCAUCUCAAAGUCACAAGGGAAAGAGACUCCAGGCCCUGUGCAGGUUCUCCUCCUGCCCCUGCCCCUUCUCACAUCCAUCUCCUAGGGACCAAACCCACAGAUUUGGUGGCUUCUGCCCCCCUCCCAUUCCAUUAGGUUCUCGUCUCUAUUUAGCUUCUCAGGGUUGCCACUAACCCUGUUCCAGCGCUAUGUUCUGGGCCUUCCAUGCUCUUGUCCAUCAGCAGCCCUGGUACCUGUCCCAGAUGUCUCCUCCCAGGGUAGUGGUCCCAGGCUCCAGACUCUUAUGCAGGACAUUUCAGUGAUGGCCAUCUUUUACAAAGAUGUGAGUCCAACCUGGGGCCCUACUCUCGUGAUCCUGGAGACCUAGCUUUCCCUAC